CCUACGGGUGGCAGCAGUGAGGAAUAUUGGUCAAUGGGCGGAAGCCUGAACCAGCCAAGUCGCGUGAGGGAUGAAGGCCCUGCGGGUCGUAAACCUCUUUUGCCGGGGAGCAGAGGUCCGGACGUGUCCGGGCCGGGAGAGUACCCGGAGAAAAAGCAUCGGCUAACUCCGUGCCAGCAGCCGCGGUAAUACGGAGGACGCGAGGGUUAUCCGGAUUUAUUGGGUUAAAAGGGUGCGUAGGCGGGCAUUUAAGCCGGCGGUCAAAUGUCGGGGCUCAACCCCGGCCUGCCGUCGGAACUGGGUGCCUUGAGUGGGCGAGAAGUAUGCGGAAUGCGUGGUGUAGCGGUAAAAUGCAUAGAUAUCACGCAGAACCCCGAUUGCGAAGGCAGCAUACCGGCGCCCUACUGACGCUGAGGCACGAAAGUGCGGGUAUCGAACAGGAUUAGAUACCCGAGUAGUC
rnacentral:rRNA from 1 species